UCAAAAGCGUUUCUGAAAUGCAAAAUACACACUUACUGUACACUGUUUAACCCGUUUACAGUAUUUUUCAGUGACAAUACCUGUGUGGUGUUUUUCUUCAGAUAGCUAAUUAGCACAAGUAUUCAGUCCACUCUGUCUUCUGUUUUCUGUAAACAAGCGGCUGUAACAUGGAAAUAUGGCCCUAUGGGAACCCUAACUCAAUAAAGGUUGCAAAGUUGGGUCGACGGGGUCAACGUACUCGACAGGCUGCAGAGCAAACAUCACUGGAGGAGCCUCGACACGUCAGGAAAUCCUCUUCUUCUACAUCGAUGGGAGAGGGACCCCCUCCUAAACCAGCCCGCAGGCAGGGCGGAUGGGCUGAAGAGACUUCUGGAUCAGCCAAGUCUGGAAGAAGACCUGCCAUGGUGCAGGACGUGGAAGAUCGACGCCUGCGAUCACAAACCCCCCAGGGCUCGGAUGAUGAAGGAGAUAUACCGGUGAUCCCAGACCUUGACGAAGUACAAGAGGAAGACCUUAACAUGCAAGUUGCUGCUCCUCCAAGCAUCCAGGUGAACCGGGUAAUGACAUACAGAGAUCUGGACAAUGACCUCAUGAAGUACUCUGUCUUCCAGACCCUGGACGGUGAGAUUGACUUGAAGCUCCUCACCAAGGUUUUAGCUCCAGAGCAGGAGGUGAGGGAGGAGGACGUGGGUUGGGACUGGGAUCAUCUGUUUACAGAGGUGUCCUCAGAGCUGCUGACGGAAUGGGAUCAAGGAGAGAAGGAGGAGCAGGUCCCGCUGUCUGUGUUAUGAGGACAAGCCUCACCAAGUUGGGAUAAAGUGGACCAGAACGUCUCCUCUGGGACCUGGGACCACGUGCUGACUGACACAGGCCAAUCACGGCCCGGCAGUCAACGAGGAGGCUCGCGCUCCGUGGCCAGAGCCCUGAAUGCUGAUUGGCUGAAAGCUGGGGUAUAUCAGACCGUAUACCACAGUCAUCCUUGAGACAUUUCUACAACUUGAUUGGAGUCCACCUGUUGUAAAUUCAAUUGAUUGGACAUGAUUUGGAAAGGCACACACCUGUCUAUAUAAGUUCCCACAGUUGACAGUGCAUGUCAGAGCAAAAACCAAGCCAUGAAGUCGAAGGAAUUGUCCGUAGAGCUCCGAGACAGGAUUGUGUUCAGGCACAGAACUUGGGAAUGGUACCAAAACAUUUCUGCAGCAUUGAAGGUCCCCAAGAACACAGUGGCCGCCAUCAUUUUUCUUAAAUGGACGAAGUUCGGAACCGAGAGCUGUUUGCUCGGCCAAACUGAGCAAUCUGGGGAGAAGGGCCUUGGUCAGGGAGGUGACCAAAAACCCGACGGUCACUCUGACAGAGCUCCAGAGUUCCUCUGUGGAGAUGGGAGAACCUUCCGGAAGGAAAACCAUCUCUGCAGCACUCCACCAAUUAGGCCUUUAUGGUAGAGAAGCCAGGCGAAAGCUACUCCCCAGUAAAAGGCACAUGACAGCCUGCUUGGAGUUUGCAGAAAGGCUAAUGGACUUUCAGACCAUGAGCAACAAGAUUUUCUGGUCUGAUGAAACAAAGAUUGAACUCUUUCACCUGAGUGCCAAGCGUCGCGUCUGGAGGAAACCUGGCACCAUGCCUAUGGGGAAGCGUGGUGGUGGCGGCAUCAUGCUGUUAGGAUGUUUUUCAGCGGCAGGGACUGGGAGACUAGUCAGGAUUAAGGGAAUGAUGAACGGAGCAAAGUACAAAGAGAUCCUUUAUGAAAACCUCACCUUCCAACAGGACAUCGACCCGAAGCACACAGCCAAGACAACGGAGGAGUGGCUUCUGGACAAGUCUCUGAAUGUCCUUGAGUGGCCCAGUCAGAGCCCGGACUAGAACACGAUCAAACAUCUCAGGAGAGACCUGAAAAUAGCUGUGCAGCGACCCUCCCCAUCCAACCUGACAGAGCUUGAGAGGAUCUGCUGAGAAGAAUGGAAGAAUCUCCCCAAAUACAAGUGUGCCAAGCUUGUAGCGUCAUACCCAAAACAACUUGAAGCUGUAAUCGCUGCCAAAGAUGCUUCAACAAAGUACUAGAUAUAGGGUCUGAAUAGUUAUGUAAAUGUCAUAUUUGUCAUUAUGGGGUAUUGUGUGUAGAUUGAUGAGGGGAAUUACAAUGUAAUCCAUUUUAGAAUAAGGCUGGAACGUAAAGUCAAGGGGUAUGAAUACUUUUGAAUGCACUGUACAUGCCUAUCGGCCUGCGCAUCGGCCUGGUGCAAAAUAAUACUGAUUGUUAGUAGCUAAGAAGUUCUCAUGGUGCAUGUCCUCUGCCAUUAAUAUAUCAGAAAUCAUUUAUACCUUAGAUAGUCAUAGUUUGCACACACAUGUUUAGUAUGUGUCAGUGUGUUUAGGCCUUGUCAGAGAAAUGUGUCUUCACUCAGAGUAGUCUGGUUCAUGUGUGUGAAUAAAGACGCCGGCCUCCGAAGCCACACUGGCUAUUGGGGAAACAGGUUUAACAUUUACAGACUGUGAUUAGGUGUAUUUCUACCUGAAGCGGAGAGCGGUCUCAUGACACUUGUGGAUACACACCAAAGGCCUGGAGGACACACAAUUUUCACAGCUCAAUUAUCUCCAGUCACACAUAGAUAACCAUUCAGCCAGUUACUUGGUAGUCCUCAAAUCAGUCUUCAAAUCAGUCUUCAAAUCAGUCCUCAAAUCAGUCCUCAAAUCAGUCUUCAUGGGUAUUACAGAAACGGAAAGUACCAAAGUUAAUGCCCAGAGUUCAGAAUUACUGUAACGAGAGGUCUCCCUCUCUUCCAUCUCUCUCUUUCCCUCACACUCUCUCUCUCCAACAUUCACACACAGUACAGUCUCUCCACAAUUGGCUUAUUUAGCCAGCCUUAAUGAAUUCUGCCCAUAUGCCCUGAGCAGCUGCCGCGUUGCCCCUUCCUCCCACCCCCGCAGAGCUGCGAAGUGCCCAUCCAUGUAGAGACAACCUCUAGCUGUCUCUCUGGAGAUGGCCGCGCCUGCCACUCCUCUGCUGGCGCCAGGCUGCUGGCGUUUGAGGUGGACGGCUCGCGGGCGGAGGACCCAGAUUAGGCCGCAGUGAUCACGGGUUGUGGCCUGUCUCAGACGAUUGGCCAGAACACCAGUGGAUCAUAGUGGGGAUUAGAGAGGGAGAGGAGAUGCUGUUUGGCAUGUGCCUGCAUCCAGCUCCUCAAAGUGACCUCUCUCUGUCCCUCAUACUCUCCUCUUUCCGCUCUCUUGCUCCCCCUCCCUCUCUCUUUCGCUCCAUCUCUCUUCCUCUCUCUUAUAUCCCGAUGCUGCAGCAAGGCUCAGAAUGACCUCUCGGUAGCUGGGCGCACAGAAUUUAAUCACGUCAAACCAUCUGUAACACAUACGUUAUUUGUACGAAGAGAGACGGCCCUUGCUCCUAGAGCUCCUCGCAGUGUAGAUGUAUUUGGCUCCAGAAGAACACAGUGUCACGGAGAGGUGAGCAGAGAAUUAUUUGUGUGCCUCUGAUCAAAUGUAGGGAGCUAUUUAGAGGAUAAGGUCUCAUUUUGUUUGAGGUCAUCAUUUUUUGGGGGAGGGAUGGGGAUUUUUAUAUCGAGGUAUUAUUUUAGUGGGAUCCUCUGACCAGUAUUUAAUGUGGAAUAUGAUAUCCUUAUUGCAGCUCAAUGGAAUAAAGAACUCUUAGGUUGAACUCUUAUCAUUUGUCAGGGUCUCAUAUAAAAUGUUGUAGCUCUUUCAUCAGAAGUUAUCAGUUUUUAUCUAAAAGUGAUGUUCCCAUCCGGUAUUUAUUUAGUAGAAGUUGUUUCUCAUGUGAAUCUACACUGGUUAUUUUUUAUGGAAGUUUUCUUAUAUUUUUUAAGUCUAAAUGUAAAUCCUUGAGAGGACGCCAAGUUUACUGGGUCCUUUAUCUGGGUUUUAAAAUGACUCCCUGUGUGGAAAUGACUCCCUGUGUGGAAAUGACUCCCUGUGUGGAAAUGACUCCCUGUAUGGAAAUGACUCCCUGUGUGGAAAUGUCUCCCUGUGUGGAAAUGACUCUCUGUGUAGAAAUGACUCCCUGUGUGGAAAUGACUCCCCGUAUGGAAAUGACUCCCUGUGUGGAAAUGUCUCCCUUUGUGGAAAUGACUCUCUGUGUGGAAAUGUCUCCCUGUGUGGAAAUAACUCCCUGUGUAGAAAUGACUCCCUGUGUAGAAAUGUCUCCCUGUGUGGAAAUGUCUCCCUGUGUGGAAAUAACUCCCUGUGUAGAAAUGACUCCCUGUGUAGAAAUGACUCUCUGUGUGGAAAUGUCUCCCUGUGUGGAAAUAACUCCCUGUGUAGAAAUGACUCUCUGUGUGGAAAUGUCUCCCUGUGUGGAAAUAACUCCCUGUGUAGAAAUGACUCUCUGUGUGGAAAUGUCUCCCUGUGUGGAAAUGACUUUUCACUUUCUGGCAAAGAAAACAAACAGGGGAAGUAAAACAGUUUUAAUAAAAAUGGACCAAGGCCUCCUAAAAA